rnacentral:rRNA from 1 species
GCCUAAUACAUGCAGUCGGACGCAAUGCUUCGGCAUUGAGUGGCGAACGGGUGAGUAAUACAUAAGCAACCUGCCCCUGUGAGGGGGAUAACUGCUGGAAACGGCAGCUAAGACCGCAUAGGCAUACAUGACGCAUGUCGAGUAUGUUAAAUAUCCUACGGGAUAGCACAGGGAUGGGCUUAUGACGCAUUAGCUAGCUGGUGAGGUAGAGGCUCACCAGGGCGACGAUGCGUUGCCGGCCUGAGAGGGUGGACGGCCACACUGGGACUGAGACACGGCCCAGACUCCUACGGGAGGCAGCAGUAGGGAAUUUUCGGCAAUGGGCGAAAGCCUGACCGAGCAACGCCGCGUGAAGGAAGAAGUCAUUCGUGAUGUGAACUUCUGUUAUAAAGGAAGAACGGCGCCUGUAGGGAAUGACAGGCGAGUGACGGUACUUUAUGAGGAAGCCACGGCUAACUACGUGCCAGCAGCCGCGGUAAUACGUAGGUGACGAGCGUUAUCCGGAAUCAUUGGGCGUAAAGAGGGAGCAGGCGGCAGUGCAGGUCUGCGGUGAAAGCCCGAAGCUAAACUUCGGUAAGCCGUGGAAACCGCACAGCUAGAGAGCAUCAGAGGAUCGCGGAAUUCCAUGUGUAGCGGUGAAAUGCGUAGAUAUAUGGAGGAACACCAGUGGCGAAGGCGGCGGUCUGGGGUGCAGCUGACGCUCAGUCCCGAAAGCGUGGGGAGCAAAUAGGAUUAGAUACCCUAGUAGUCCACGCCGUAAACGAUGAGUGCUAAGUGUUGGGGGGUCAGGCCUCAGUGCUGCAGUUAACGCAAUAAGCACUCCGCCUGANUAGUACGUUCGCAAGAAUGAAACUCAAAGGAAUUGACGGGGGCCCGCACAAGCGGUGGAGCAUGUGGUUUAAUUCGAAGCAACGCGAAGAACCUUACCAGGUCUUGACAUGGAGAUAAAGGGCUCUGGAGACAGAGAGAUAGCUAUAUCUC